rnacentral:rRNA from 1 species
GUUCGGAUGUGAUAACCGCUGAAAGCAUCUAAGCGGGAAGCCAACUCCAAGAUGAAUCAUCCCUGAAGACCCCUCGAAGACUACGAGGUUGAUAGGCUGGGUGUGUAAGCGUUGUAAGGCGUUUAGCUGACCAGUACUAAUAGGUCGUUCGUUUUUAUUCU